rnacentral:rRNA from 1 species
CCUACGUGAGGCAGCAGUGAGGAAUAUUGGUCAAUGGUCGGGAGACUGAACCAGCCAAGCCGCGUGAGGGAGGAAGGUACAGAGUAUCGUAAACCUCUUUUGUCAGGGAACAAAGGCGGGGACGUGUCCCCGGAUGAGUGUACCUGAAGAAAAAGCAUCGGCUAACUCCGUGCCAGCAGCCGCGGUAAUAAGGAGGAUGCGAGCGUUAUCCGGUUGUAUUGGGUUUAAAGGGUUCGCCGGUGGUCUGUUAAGUAAGCGGUCAAAGCCCGGGGCUCACCCCCGGCCCGCCGUUGAAACUGGCAGUCUCGAGUUGGAGAGAAGUAUGCGGAAUGCGCGGUGUAGCGGUGAAAUGCAUAGAUAUCGCGCAGAACUCCGAUUGCGAAGGCAGCAUGCCGGCUCCACACUGACGCUGAGGCACGAAAGCGUGGGUAUCGAACAGGAUUAGAUACCCCUGUAGUC